rnacentral:tRNA from 1 species
ACCUGGGUGGCUCAGUCGGUUGAGUGUCUGACUUCGCCUCAGGUCAUGAUCUCACAGUUUGUGGGUUCAAGCCCCGCUUUGGGCU